GGAUAUUGCUGAUAUUUCACCAUGCCUAAACCAAAGGAAUCCUGCUUCGGGAUGAGAGCAUAGAGGCUACCUCGUACACUGAAGACAUCUCAGAUGGCAUUCUGUACACCUGCUGAGGAACUUCUUCCAUCCCACAAGAAGUGAAGCAAAUCUUACUGUAUUUCGCUUUGAUACAAAACCCACGUCUUUUAUUUUGGCUUCCCAAAGAGUAAAAUUAAUUUUA
rnacentral:lncRNA from 1 species